rnacentral:lncRNA from 1 species
UCGUAUUGUAAAAAUAACACUUUAAGAAAUACAUACAACAUAUAAAUUUGAAUAAAAAAAAUCAAACAUUACAUGAAUACUCUCAAAAUCAUUAAUCAAAAUUUUGAGUGCCUUUCAUCCAUAAAGUCGACAGAUACUACUGCAAGGAAUCCUACACAUACUACUGCAAGGAAUCCUUCAAGACAAGCAACAUGAUCUCAUAGGACCUGAAAUAUAAAUUUUCAAUAUCCAAACUAAUUAUUCUAUUAGUCUAACACUAGAAAAUAAAAAAUAUGUAAUCAAGCUCCCACCAUCUUCUAGAUUGCAUCAACCAUGAAAUUUAUCAUUCAAAACAAAGGAACCUGCAAAUACAAAAAAUAUACAUCAAUUAAUAAACAAAAAUCAAUGUACAAGAACAUUUCUGCCAAGUGAACAUUUGAAAAUACAAAAUAACAUAAGAUCUCUCUAAAAGAGUACUACUCUUUAGUAAGAGCCAGAAACAGAAGAUAAACUUCAAAAAUACAUACUCACGUACUUCAAAUAAAAACGCAAGAUAACAACAAAUAAUUUGAACUCCUUCGGAAGACUGAUAGAAUGAUUCAUAUCCAACAAUAUAAAGUAGAAUUCUUAACCAUUUAAACUGUAACUUCAUCAACUUGUCAUGUUCGACUCCUUCAAUUAAUCCAACAAUAUAAAAGCAGUACUCUUGACCAUUUAAAAAUCAAACUUUAUCAAUUUUCUUACUUCUACUCAUCCAAUUAAUAAAUAAAUAUAAAUGAUCAACUCAUAUAGGUCGGUCAAAAAAAUAAGAUCAGAAUAUUCUAGUUAGCUUUGUUGAAAUUCAAUGGUCAAUGAGCAAGAGUAACAAAACAAACGGUUACUCUUUUCAUUUUUAUUCUCCAAAAAAAUUAAUAUUCUCUAAGUAUCAACAACUAAUAACCAAAUAUGACAGCCAAAACCACCAAAAGUUGAUGAUUAACAAGAAAAAUACAAUUUACAGAAAAUAAGGAAAAAAGAAAACAUCACAAUGAAAGAGGGAAAUUCAAUAUGCACUCUACGAUUACAUGAAGAUAAUUGUAGGGGGGAUCAUUGAAGUGUUUUUUUACCUACCAUCAAGAAUCUCAAUUCAUAAAGUCCUCAGAAACAUAAACAAGUUAUAGAAGACAAGAAAAAAAAAACAUACCAACGAAAAGGCCAAUCGAUAUAUACUUCAAGACCCUUUAAAUUGCUCUUGCCUCGUUUUCACUCGGUAGUGAGAUUCAAUACCUUCUGGUAAAAAUAAAUAAGAUAACUAGAGAGAUAAGCAUAAGGCAAACAUAAACUAUAAUUUCUUGCCAUCUUUCUAGUUUAAAUCAGAGCCCUCGAGAAUUAUUCUUGUAUGAAAUAUAACAUAAAAUAUAAAGAAAAUGUGCAAGUUCAACAAAAAAUUAAGUAACAUUAAAUGAUAAAUAGUCCUUGAGGCCCUAAACACAAAAACGAAAUAUUAGGCUUACAAAGAACUAUAAUCGAAAGAAAAAACUACCUGAAAACUUACCGACA